rnacentral:rRNA from 1 species
UUGAACGCUGGCGGCAUGCCUUACACCUGCAAGUCGAACGGCAGCACGGGUGCUUGCACCUGGUGGCGAGUGGCGAACGGGUGAGUAAUACAUCGGAACAUGUCCUGUAGUGGGGGAUAGCCCGGCGAAAGCCGGAUUAAUACCGCAUACGAUCCACGGAUGAAAGCGGGGGACCUUCGGGCCUCGCGCUAUAGGGUUGGCCGAUGGCUGAUUAGCUAGUUGGUGGGGUAAAGGCCUACCAAGGCGACGAUCAGUAGCUGGUCUGAGAGGACGACCAGCCACACUGGGACUGAGACACGGCCCAGACUCCUACGGGAGGCAGCAGUGGGGAAUUUUGGACAAUGGGCGAAAGCCUGAUCCAGCAAUGCCGCGUGUGUGAAGAAGGCCUUCGGGUUGUAAAGCACUUUUGUCCGGAAAGAAAUCCUUGACUCUAAUACAGUCGGGGGAUGACGGUACCGGAAGAAUAAGCACCGGCUAACUACGUG